GGGCUGCGGACAGGCUGGCAGCGGCGCGCGCGGGCUCCUCGGGCGGGCUCCAUGGCUGCGCCGCGGGCGGCACCAUCUCCGUGGCUCGCUCGUCACUCUCUCGCUCCAGGAGUGCGGCAGGCUGCGAGGUAGCUCUUACGUCUUUAAGGAAUCAGCAGUACCUAAAGAAUGUCACCAGAAUCAUCCUGAUGGAGGCAGGAACACGAGGCUGAGAAGAAGAUCUUAAGACCCGUGGGCAAAGCAAGGAAAGAGAGCAUGGACUGAGGGACCAUACCAUACCCUCCUUCUCCAUGUCAUCUGUGUGGCCUGGCUGAAGCUCCUAAAUCAUGGUGAUGAAAAACAUCAAGGACUUGUUUAUAUUUCCAUUGACCCCAUUUUAAUUGUGAAUGGUGAUUUAAAAAAACUCUG
ensembl:lincRNA Gm15046 predicted gene 15046